GUGAUAUACGUAUAUCCACCCCUACUUGUCGACAGCUAAUAGAACAAUAUUGACAAAACAACAAACGAAUUUGACGCAUCAAUUGCAAAACAUUUUACGACAAUUGCAAAACAUUUUACGACAAUUAUAAAACGACUAUCAUUGAGAAAUCCGAUCAAAAUCUAUAAUUACAACUAUAUUAAAUAAACCUUGCAAAAAUGUAUCUUUGAACGAAGUGUAUAUUUAACAGCUAUUUGUUUUAUUAAUAAUCAUAUUUUCUAUAUGAUUACAAAUGAUGUUUACAAUAAAAAUAAUAUUAUUUU
rnacentral:sRNA from 1 species